rnacentral:rRNA from 1 species
AACGAACGCUGGCGGCAGGCUUAACACAUGCAAGUCGAACGGUCUCUUCGGAGGCAGUGGCAGACGGGUGAGUAACGCGUGGGAAUCUACCUAGUUCUACGGAACAACAGAGGGAAACUU